UACAGAAGGGUGCGAGGCGUUAAUCGGAAUGCUGGGCGUAAAGGGUGGCGUAAGGUGGCGCUGUAAGUCGGUGGUGAAAAUUUCGGAGCUUAACUCCGAAACUGCAUUUGAUUACUGCGGUGCUUGAGGUACUGGGAGAGGAGAGCUGGAAUUUACGGUGUAGCAGUGAAAAUGCGUAGAGAUCGUAAGGAAGACCAGUGGCGAAGGCGG
rnacentral:rRNA from 1 species